rnacentral:lncRNA from 1 species
CGUUGACCUUCUUCUGUAGCGGGAAUAUAUGCGGGAACCGAGCUUUGUUCGUGAGACGAUCCCGAUGCACGGGAACUGCUCACCGAACUACGUCGAAGACGGGCUGCGGGGCGGGGUACAUCCUCGGACCUAAAAAAAAAUUAAUACAUCAAAAAUCUUUUCAAAUCAUUUCUAUUUUUAAUGUUUUCAUUUAUAUAUUUACAAAAGGUUUUAUAAACGUUUUAAAAAAAAACUAUUAAACCUUUUAUUAUACAUAGUUUAUUACUGGAAACUUAUACAAAAUAAUAAAAAAAAAUUAAAUUUUUUUAUUAUACAUGAUUUAUAUAUAUAUAUGUAUGUAUACAAAAUUAUAAAAAAUUUAUAAAUAUAGAAAAUGUUGUUAAAAAUUUAUAAAUGAAGAAAAAUGUUGUUAAAUAUUUAUAUUUUUUUUUAAAAACGUUUUAUUAUACAUAGUUUAUUAGUGGAAACUUAUAAAAAAUUAUAAAAAAUUUUAAAAUUUUUAUUAUACAUGAUUUAUAUAUAUAUAUGUAUACAAAAUUAUAAAAAAAUUAUAAAUAUAGAAAAAUGUUGUUAAAUAUUUUUAAAAAAUUUUAAAAACGUUUUAUUAUACAUAGUUUAUUACUGGAAACUUGAAAAACGUUUUUAAAAAUCAAAAAAUAUUUUAAAAAUAGUAAAACGUUUUGAAUUUUAACAAAAACAAAUAAUUCCAAAAAAAACUAAAACAACAAUCCAAACAACAAUCCUAACUUAUAUAUCCUAAACUAUCCAUUCAAUCCUAAAAUUUUCAAUCAAACAACCUAAAAUCCGAGAUCUAACUUCCAAAACCCUAAAAAAAUGAGAUAAAACAAGGUUGGGAUGAUUCUUACAUGAUUUGGGGUUUGGGGAAGAGAUAUGAGGGUGAGAAGAGGGUUCGCAGGUGAUAGGAGCUCGAGAAUGGUCGGAAUCGCCGUGAAAGGGAGAGAAAUCGCGGAGAGGAUUGAGAGAGAGGCGGAGG